CUCUCUGGAUCGGAGACUUGGCACACACGUGACCUUUCAAGAAGAUAUGUACGAAUUGCAGCUCCAGAUAUCUUUCCAUGCUUAUCAAAUUGAAUCUCAACAAAUUUACCAAAACGACUGGUAAAGCCACCAAAUGAUUUUUGGCAUUCCCAAAUGCUUCCAAGACUGGGUUGGACUGAGAUGAGGAGAAAAUCAGGCUUCAUUUUUAUCCAUUGGAAGUAGUUAAUAUACAAGAAAUAGUUCAAGCUCACCUCCAAAACCUGUUGUUCUACUGUUCUUCCUUCUGUGACAGAUCUGCCCCCCAUGAAUGCAAGCAAAGAGGUGUGGACUCAGCUCUCCAAAUGCAGCUCCCUUAUACUGCUGCAUCAUGUGGAUGUCGUACAAGUGUGGCAGUCUCCGAAAAGGAUUCACCGCUAUUAGAAUGUUCCCAGUUGGUGUUGAUUAGGGUGGAUGUUACUCACAUAUAUCUCAUUGAGUGCAAACCGACAGGCAAGGUUAUGCAGGACUCCUGGCUCAUGGAGCCUAUUUUUAAUAGUGCAACAAGGCAUGGGGGAGCGGGGGAGCCUGCUCCUGCCCUACAAGUACAAGGUAUGAGGUAUCCAAGCUGCUGACUGCCAAGUGCCAUCUGUAAUAUUAAUGCUUCUCUCCUCGGUGCUUGAUCACAUGCACUCAUGUACACCAACCUUCCUCUGGUACACACAUACUGCUCUCUCUAUAUGCUCACUUACUAAACCUAUCAGCUUCCGCCUGCGGUCUCAGUUUGGCCCUCAAUGCUGAGUUGAUGAUAAGCGAAUAAAAAAUAAUAAUAAAAGAAAUUUUAUUAUUCAAGAGAUAAUAUUUGCAAGAUGAUAAAUUAAAAAUUUAUUAAUGUUGUUAAUGUAGAAGUAGAAAAAACUUAUAGUUCAGACUCUUUCUCUAUAAAUAGAGUUUCGUAUAUAAUCAAAUAAAUCAAGAAAAAAUGUAGCCAAGAAAAAGCUUUGAUAUGUGGAUGUAGACCACAGGCCGAACCACCUUAA